UACGUAGGGGGCAAGCGUUGUCCGGAUUUAUUGGGCGUAAAGGGCGCGUAGGCGGCUAGAUGUGUCAAAGGUGAAAUCCCUCGGCUCAACUGAGGAACUGCCUUUGAAACUGUCUGGCUUGAGGCCGGGAGAGGGUAGCGGAAUUCCCAGUGUAGCGGUGAAAUGCGUAGAUAUUGGGAGGAACACCAGUGGCGAAGGCGGCUACCUGGACCGGUUCUGACGCUGAGGCGCGAAAGCGUGGGGAGCAAACAGG
rnacentral:rRNA from 1 species